UUUCCGUAGGUGAACCAGCGGAAGGAUCAUUAUCGUACAAAAUGUGAGGGGCAUGCGAAGUCUGUGGCUGACCCAAAAGUCGUGCACGCCGGAGUGUGUCCUCUUGCAUAAUAAUCCAUCUCACCCUUUGUGCAUCACCGCGUGGGCACCCUUCGGGAUCAUCUCGGAGGGGGGCUCGCGGCUACACAAAACCCCCCCUUUUAAAAGUGUAGAAUGACCACAUUUAUGCAAUCAAUACAACUUUCAACAACGGAUCUCUUGGCUCUG
rnacentral:misc_RNA from 1 species